CCUACGGGAGGCAGCAGUGGGGAAUAUUGCACAAUGGGGAAACCCUGAUGCAGCGACGCCGCGUGAGUGAAGAAGUAAUUCGCUACGUAAAGCUCUAUCAGCAGGGAAGAAAAUGACGGUACCUGAUUCAGAAGCCCCGGCUAACUAUGUGCCAGCAGCCGCGGUAAUACGUAGGGGGCAAGCGUUAUCCGGGUUUACUGGGUGUAAAGGGAGCGGAGACGGGGCUCCAAGGCUGGAGUGAAAUGCGGCAGCUUAACUGCUGAACUGCUUUGGAAACUGGCGAACUUGAGUGCGGGAGGGGUAAGCGGAAUUCGUGGUGUAGCGGUGAAAUGCGUAGAUAUUAGGAGGAACACCGGUUGCGAAGGCAGCUUACUGGACCGUAACUGACGUUGAGGCUCGAAAGCGUGGGGAGCAAACAGGAUUAGAUACCCCUGUAGUC
rnacentral:rRNA from 1 species